rnacentral:rRNA from 1 species
GGCGGCGUGCUUAACACAUGCAAGUCGAACGGAAAGGCCCCUUCGGNGGUACUCGAGUGGCGAACGGGUGAGUAACACGUGGGCAAUCUGCCCUGCACUUCGGGAUAAGCCUGGGAAACUGGGUCUAAUACCGGAUAGGACCUUUAGGCGCAUGUCUUUAGGUGGAAAGCUUUUGCGGUGUGGGAUGGGCCCGCGGCCUAUCAGCUUGUUGGUGGGGUGAUGGCCUACCAAGGCGACGACGGGUAGCCGGCCUGAGAGGGUGUCCGGCCACACUGGGACUGAGAUACGGCCCAGACUCCUACGGGAGGCAGCAGUGGGGAAUAUUGCACAAUGGGCGCAAGCCUGAUGCAGCGACGCCGCGUGGGGGAUGACGGCCUUCGGGUUGUAAACCUCUUUCACCAUCGACGAAGGUCCGGGUUUUCUCGGAUUGACGGUAGGUGGAGAAGAAGCACCGGCCAACUACGUGCCAGCAGCCGCGGUAAUACGUAGGGUGCGAGCGUUGUCCGGAAUUACUGGGCGUAAAGAGCUCGUAGGUGGUUUGUCGCGUUGUUCGUGAAAUCUCACGGCUUAACUGUGAGCGUGCGGGCGAUACGGGCAGACUAGAGUACUGCAGGGGAGACUGGAAUUCCUGGUGUAGCGGUGGAAUGCGCAGAUAUCAGGAGGAACACCGGUGGCGAAGGCGGGUCUCUGGGCAGUAACUGACGCUGAGGAGCGAAAGCGUGGGGAGCGAACAGGAUUAGAUACCCUGGUAGUCCACGCCGUAAACGGUGGGUACUAGGUGUGGGUUUCCUUCCUUGGGAUCCGUGCCGUAGCUAACGCAUUAAGUACCCCGCCUGGGGAGUACGGCCGCAAGGCUAAAACUCAAAGGAAUUGACGGGGGCCCGCACAAGCGGCGGAGCAUGUGGAUUAAUUCGAUGCAACGCGAAGAACCUUACCUGGGUUUGACAUGCACAGGACGCGUCRAGAGAUAGGCGUUCCCUUGUGGCCUGUGUGCAGGUGGUGCAUGGCUGUCGUCAGCUCGUGUCGUGAGAUGUUGGGUUAAGUCCCGCAACGAGCGCAACCCUUGUCUCAUGUUGCCAGCGGGUAAUGCCGGGGACUCGUGAGAGACUGCCGGGGUCAACUCGGAGGAAGGUGGGGAUGACGUCAAGUCAUCAUGCCCCUUAUGUCCAGGGCUUCACACAUGCUACAAUGGCCGGUACAAAGGGCUGCGAUGCCGCAAGGUUAAGCGAAUCCUUUUAAAGCCGGUCUCAGUUCGGAUUGGGGUCUGCAACUCGACCCCAUGAAGUCGGAGUCGCUAGUAAUCGCAGAUCAGCAACGCUGCGGUGAAUACGUUCCCGGGCCUUGUACACACCGCCCGUCACGUCAUGAAAGUCGGUAACACCCGAAGCCAGUGGCCUAACCCUUGGGAGGGAGCUGUCGAAGGUGGGAUCGGCGAUUGGGACGAAGUCGUAACAAGGAGCGC